CUACGGGCGGCUGCAGUGAGGAAUAUUGCACAAUGGGGGGAACCCUGAUGCAGCAACGCCGCGUGGAGGAUGACGCAUUUCGGUGUGUAAACUCCUUUUAUAUGUCAAGAAAAUGACGGUAGCAUAUGAAUAAGCACCGGCUAACUCCGUGCCAGCAGCCGCGGUAAUACGGAGGGUGCAAGCGGUACUCGGAAUCACUGGGCGUAAAGGACGCGUAGGCGGGUUGGAAAGUCAGGUGUGAAAUCCUACAGCUUAACUGGAGAACUGCACUUGAAACUUCUAAUCUAGAGUAUGGGAGGGGGAGAUGGAAUUAGUGGUGUAGGGGUAAAAUCCGUAGAUAUCACUAGGAAUACCUAAAGCGAAGGCGAUCUCCUGGAACAUUACUGACGCUAAGGCGUGAAAGCGUGGGGAGCAAACAGGAUUAGAUACCCCAGUAGUC
rnacentral:rRNA from 1 species